UACAGAGGUCUCAAGCGUUGUUCGGAUUCAUUGGGCGUAAAGGGUGUGUAGGUGGCGCCGUAAGUCGGGUGUGAAAUUUCGGAGCUUAACUCCGAAACUGCAUUCGAUACUGCGGUGCUUGAGGACUGGAGAGGAUGGUGGAAUUCCCAGUGUAGAGGUGAAAUUCGUAGAUAUUGGGAAGAACACCGAUGGCGAAGGCAGCCAUCUGGACCGACACUGACGCUGAGGCGCGAAAGCGUGGGGAGCAAACAGG
rnacentral:rRNA from 1 species